rnacentral:rRNA from 1 species
AGAAGUUUGAGUCCUGGCUCAGGAUGAACGCUGACAGAAUAGCUUAACACAUGCAAGUCAACUUGAAUUGGGUUUUUAACUUAGAUUUGGGUGGCGGACGGGUGAGUAACGCGUAAAGAACUUGCCUCACAGCUAGGGACAACAUUUAGAAAUGAAUGCUAAUACCUGAUAUUAUGAUUUUAAGGCAUCUUAGAAUUAUGAAAGCUAUAAGCACUGUGAGAGAGCUUUGCGUCCCAUUAGCUAGUUGGAGAGGUAACAGCUCACCAAGGCGAUGAUGGGUAGCCGGCCUGAGAGGGUGAACGGCCACAAGGGGACUGAGACACGGCCCUUACUCCUACGGGAGGCAGCAGUGGGGAAUAUUGGACAAUGGACCGAGAGUCUGAUCCAGCAAUUCUAUGUGCACGAUGAAGUUUUUCGGAAUGUAAAGUGCUUUCAGUUGGGAAGAAAGAAAUGACGGUACCAACAGAAGAAGUGACGGCUAAAUACGUG